rnacentral:rRNA from 1 species
UUGCACGCUGGCGGCCGGCUUAACACAUGCAAGUCGAGCGGGGAAAGGUAGCUUGCUCCCUGACCUAGCGGCGGACGGGUGAGUAAUGCUUAGGAAUCUGCCUAUUAGUGGGGGACAACAUCUCGAAAGGGAUGCUAAUACCGCAUACGUCCUACGGGAGAAAGCAGGGGACCUUCGGGCCUUGCGCUAAUAGAUGAGCCUAAGUCGGAUUAGCUAGUUGGUGGGGUAAAGGCCUACCAAGGCGACGAUCUGUAGCGGGUCUGAGAGGAUGAUCCGCCACACUGGAACUGAGACACGGCCCAGACUCCUACGGGAGGCAGCAGUGGGGAAUAUUGGACAAUGGGGGGAACCCUGAUCCAGCCAUGCCGCGUGUGGGAAGAAGGCCUUUUGGUUGUAAAGCACUUUAAGCGAGGAGGAGGCUACCGAGAUUAAUACUCUUGGAUAGUGGACGUUACUCGCAGAAUAAGCACCGGCUAACUCUGUG